GCCAGUAUGGCGUAGUGGUUUGAGUGUUGGGUUCUCCCACUGGAGACCAGGGUUCAAAUCCCUGCUCGGCCA